GCAUAACGCGAAGAACCUUACCCACCUUUGACAUGUACGGAAUCCUUUAGAGAUAGAGGAGUGCUCGAAAGAGAGCCGUAACACAGGUGCUGCAUGGCUGUCGUCAGCUCGUGUCGUGAGAUGUUGGGUUAAGUCCCGCAACGAGCGCAACCCUUGCCAUUAGUUGCUACGAAAGGGCACUCUAAUGGGACUGCCGGUGACAAACCGGAGGAAGGUGGGGAUGACGUCAAGUCCUCAUGGCCCUUAUAGGUGGGGCUACACACGUCAUACAAUGGCUGGUACAGAGGGUUGCCAACCCGCGAGGGGGAGCUAAUCCCAUAAAGCCAGUCGUAGUCCGGAUCGCAGUCUGCAACUCGACUGCGUGAAGUCGGAAUCGCUAGUAAUCGUGAAUCAGAAUGUCACGGUGAAUACGUUCCCGGGUCUUGUACACACCG
rnacentral:rRNA from 1 species